rnacentral:tRNA from 1 species
GCCAGCAUGGCUCAGUGGUUGAGCAUCAGCCUAUGAACCAGGAGGUCAAGGUUCAAUUCCUGGUCAGGGCA